rnacentral:rRNA from 1 species
UACGUAGGCAGCGAGCGUUGUUCGGAAUUACUGGGCGUAAAGAGUGUGUAGGCGGUGUUCCAAGUCUGGUGUGAAAUCUCCCGGCUCAACUGGGAGGGUGCGCCGGAAACUGGAAUGCUAGAGGGUGGGAGAGGUAAGCGGAAUUCCUGGUGUAGCGGUGAAAUGCGUAGAUAUCAGGGGGAACACCUGUGGUGUAGACAGCUUACUGGACCACUUCUGACGCUGAGACACGAAAGCGUGGGUAGCAAACAGG